GAGGCAGUAGCUCAGCGGUAGAGCAUCAGCUCCUAGCUUGAUGAUUGCCGGUUCGCCGGCCAAAUCAGGCUUACUUCAAUGUUAAUCUGACGGUCGCGGGUUCGAAUCCUGCCUGCCUCG
rnacentral:tRNA from 1 species